UGAGGGAUAAGCAUCGGAAACGGUGUCUAAUACCGCAUAUGGUCUUCGGAUUAAAGCUUCGGCGGUUUGGGAAGAGCCCGCGUAAGAUUAGCUAGUUGGUGAGGUAAUGGCUCACCAAGGCGACGAUCUUUAACUGGUUUGAGAGGAUGAUCAGUCACACUGGAACUGAGACACGGUCCAGACUCCUACGGGAGGCAGCAGUGAGGAAUUUCCACAAUGGGCGAAAGCCUGAUGGAGCAACGCCGCGUGCAGGAUGAAGGCUUUAGGGUUGUAAACUGCUUUUAUAUGUGACGAAUAUGACGGUAGCAUAUGAAUAAGGAUCGGCUAACUCCGUG
rnacentral:rRNA from 1 species